GGAUACAUCUAAGAGUUACAGGACACCGGCCCUCGAGGACCAGGAUUGCCCACCCCUGGACUAUCUGCUAGCUAAAAGCUAAACUAGCAGCUAAGUAACUUCUUCUAUGCUCUUGAGUCGUCAUCGUAAACUUGCGCCUGACAAAAUGGACAGAAAAGUUUUUUCUUCUGUUUCAUAUAUUUCAGUGACCCUGAAGCUUCAAGUUAUUUAUUUCAUUUUUGGGAAGACAUCGAUGUUUCAUAAAGUCUUUUUGCCAUAGGUGACCGGUUUGUUCUUUCUGUGAGGAUAGGAGAGGUGAGCAGAGGCAGAGCUGAGUUCCAAGUAACCAGGUAAUGGUGGGUAUGUGAGCUGCAGCGGCCAAAACAGUACAGAAACUAUUGUAUAUCUUUCCCUUUUCUGAUAUCAGCUAAUUCUGUGAGAUUCAGUCCAGUUUAGACUGUGGACCAGCUUCUUAUUUGUUUUAAUGGCGGUUGGCAAACAAUUGUAGGAAACGUUACCACAUAGCACCUCAUGCUGCACAGGUCAGGCUCAGGUAAAUGACGUCCUCAUUUGAUAUUGUGAUAUAAAUUUUUUCACCACCAGUAUUACUGUAAACGAGACAAUGUAGCAUGCCCCUAGUGGAAACCGUCUACCGCAGAAGGUACAAUCUUCCUUAUCUCCUGCUUUUCUUUGAUCCAUUGUUAAUUAAUAUUAACAACUAGAAAGAAUGUUUUACCAUGUGUGUCAGAAAGAGCCAUAAAUAGCCAAUUUUUCAUCCAAUUGUUAUGCAACCUUUGGGCAAACUUUUAAAAUGUUGCAAAAUAGAAAAUGCGAAAUAGGCAUGUUUCUAGUGAUGGGCAGAUGAGGUCUCAUUGGGUGUAUGGAAAAACAGUGAUGUUAUAGUUACUUUGAAAAAGUAACUUUGAUUGCAUUACUGUAAAAAAAGUAAAAGUAACUUUAGUGGAAAAAUAAACAUUUCCCUGUGUGUUGGAUAAGAAAAAAAAAGACCCUAAAAAAUGGCAUGAUUUUUCUCUCACUUGCCGUUCAGGGCUUUGGUAUGGAAGUGUUUAACUGCCAGAGCUUGGAAAUAAAUUCAGGAGUGGCAUCUCAUUAAAAUGAGAAAACUUUAUUAUUUUAACGAGAUGCAAAUCUCGUUAAAAGGAGAGUUUCUUGUUUUAAUGAGAAACGUUCCUGUUUUAACGAGAUGAAUUUUAUAUCUCAACAGAGAGCUUCUUGUUUUAACAAGGUAAAAUCUCUGACAGAUUAUGACUUGUUAAAAAGGUAUAAAUGGGCUCACUAUGACUCUACUUCUCACCCAGUUUUCUCCAGAUGGCAUCUCAAAAAAUUUUAAGUAGUGUUUUUCUCUUGUAAUCGAUCAUAUUUAAAAGAGAAGAUAUUUUGAAUUUUGUGAGCAGGGGUGGCAUUAACAAAUAUUUUCCACAUUUGACCAGUAUUUUUUUGACAGGCUAUAAUUCACACCCUGUGCAGACCUUAUAGACUUUAUGCAAAGAGGCAACUAAAAUCAAUCACAAAAAAAAUCCUUUCUGAGUAUCAUCCAGGGAUGGAAAUUAGCACCCGCCACUGGCCAAAUGCGGGUAAAAGUAUGAAGUGGCGUGUAAAUUGGAGCAACGCACCCGCCAUCUUGGCAGGUUGACAAUUUGAACAGAAAAAAAACUGCAUUCAAUUUGAGCUUCUGACCAGGACAGGACUGACCAUCUGGAGUCCAGACUGAUGCACACACUGUACAUAUCUGGCGGCCUUGCGCUGUCAUAAUUUACCACAAAAAAAAGUAUGUGGAAUAUAUUUUUUAUGACCACGACAGCCCAGUGGUUGAUUUUAUUGUCGGACAUUGGGCUUAUCCAAUGAACUUCCUCGGUCCUCCUUGGCCCUUCCCUUCCCUCCAAGGUUAUAAAUAGAGCCAAUUCUGCUAACCGGAGUCUAAGAAAAGUGAGCGGAUACGAGACGGGGUUGGUCGGAACAACUACAACAAAAGUUAAAAAGCGAAAGGCUCAUUCAGGAAAAUGUGUCAAACUAAUUGUUAUGUUUAUUACCACACAAACUUUGACCUGGAGCAGAUUCAGUAGCGGAGAAGGAGAGGGAAUUAGUGAUUCCCUUAUCAAUAAUUUUGUUGAGUUGGGUUGGGUUUUGUUGUUGUCAUUGGAGGAGGAGGAUGAUGAGAAAGACGUGACCUGGGGCAGAUUUAGGAAGAGUUCAGAUUAGCUGCUGCCUGGUAAGAAGAUGAGGAAAUGUUCAUGAUAUAGGAGCGUUUCAUGCAGGCAGGAGGGCAGGUGUGUGUGUGCACGCGUGGGGGUGUGUGUGAGUCCGGGUAGGGUAAGACAACGCCAAGCUAGCAGGCAGUUAGAAAAACACUGGGACAAUACAGGAAUGAUGACAGCCCAUGGAAUUAAUAAUGAGUUACCUUUUGAGAUGUUUUUAAUAAUAAGACUAAUUGUGAAUUUCAAUGGAAAAGUAAUAACAAGGAAGACAGUUAGGAAACAGCUAUUAAUACAAUUUAAAAAUGUUUAAAAAAAAUGACUGGACACAUCUUAAAUAAAUACUACGUGGUGAAGUUGUAGCCAAAAUGCUUCGCUCCUGUUCACUGAUUGGCCUUGAGCGUGGACAGACAGAGCAGCCAAGAGAGAAGGAAAAGGCGCGACGUUUCAAACUCGCUGCAACACGGAAGUGAUGGAAGAUACAAACAAGCCGUGAACUAAAAGAUGCCGGCUUUUCUUUUCUUCGGAUUUCAAUAUUCAGCGGCAGCUCGAUGGAGCAGUGAGGAAUGAGUCGUUUUUGUCAACGUAGUGGAGAGAAUGGAAAGCCUCGUUAGCCGCUUUGGAGCCCGACGGUGAACACCGACUCAGAUGCAGCUAACGCCGCUGCUGAUCUCCAGCCAGGGAACAGAAGAAGAGGAACAUGGCUGACAUGAUGGUGAACGAUGAGGAAAACCAUCAGAACAACAACUGGAUCUCCUUCAGGAGGAAGCAACUACCAGCACUGAGAUGGCAGAGCUCCAUGAAGAGCUGAGGCAAACAAAAGAAAAAUAAAUGCUGUUGUGCUCUCAAUGAA